rnacentral:rRNA from 1 species
AGGGCGAACGCUGGCGGCAGGCCUAACACAUGCAAGUCGAGCGCCCCGCAAGGGGAGCGGCAGACGGGAGAGUAACACGUGGGAACGUACCCUUUGGUUCGGAACAACACAGGGAAACUUGUGCUAAUACCGGAUAAGCCCUUACGGGGAAAGAUUUAUUGCCAAAGGAUCGGCCCGCGUCUGAUUAGCUUGUUGGUGAGGUAACGGCUCACCAAGGCUACGAUCAGUAGCU